GUGCAUCCCUGGAGAAGUCUUGAAGGCUAGCAUCAGAGGUGGGAGUAUGGACAGAAGAUAGACGUAAAUCUUCAACAGAGCGUAAGGGCCUAGAUGGAACAUUAGUGUAUUAGUGAGGAUAGAUAGGUGGGAGCAGCAUUAUGUAGAGAUUUGAAAGCAAGAACCAGAAUCUUAAAUUGAGCUCUGUAUUUUAUAGGAGGCCAAUGUAGGGACUGAC
rnacentral:lncRNA from 1 species